UACAGAGGUCUCAAGCGUUGUUCGGAUUCAUUGGGCGUAAAGGGUGCGUAGGUGGCGCGCUAAGUCAGGUGUGAAAUCUCGGAGCUUAACUCCGAAACUGCAUUUGAUACUGGUGUGCUUGAGGACUGGAGAGGAGACUGGAAUUCAUGGUGUAGCAGUGAAAUGCGUAGAGAUCAUGAGGAAGACCAGUGGCGAAGGCGGGUCUCUGGACAGUUCCUGACACUGAGGCACGAAGGCCAGGGGAGCAAACGGG
rnacentral:rRNA from 1 species